rnacentral:tRNA from 6 species
GGGCGCUUAGCUCAGUUGGUAGAGCAGCUGACUCUUAAUCAGCGGGUCGUAGGUUCGAUCCCUACAGCGCCCACCA